rnacentral:lncRNA from 1 species
AAGUGGUAUGAUCUAUUCUAGGCCGAUGGAUCUGAUAUCUACGGCUAUGAUUAGAUCUACAUCAAAACGAAGCGGUAUGCAACAGAGUCCGUCAUUAGAGAUCAAUGGCCCAAAACAGUUCGUGAACCAGUAUGCGCUCUGGUCCACCAGAUCCUGAUCUAACGGCACCGAUUCAACGAGCGAAGGGGUACGUGAUGUUAUGAUCUCGAUCGUUCGUUACAAGAUCAAUGGUUGGCGCCUUUCUUCUCAACUCCGACCACCCAGGCGGUGGUACAAGUGGUUCGCACGGCUGCGCUCACGCUGGAGUCAGGCGAUCCGAUCCCCUGGUGAUCCAAAUCGUGUUCCACAUGGUACGCGAAGUGCAGGUCAAGGCGAAUCAAUUAGGCCCUGUUCGUUUGUAUCGGAUUACACCCGGAAUCGUUCCGUCUAAACAAAGUUUAUAUAAAUUAGAGAAGCAAUCCGGUUAGGAAUUAUUCCGACCCAUCAAUCCGAUGGAAACGAACAAGGCCUUAAGAAGAUCCUUACCGAGUAUGACGGCACGAGGAAUCGUGUUGACGCGAUGAUGUGGCUCGACGGUGAAAGAUCUUCGAUGAGCAAUUGGAGCAACUCUGUGGCUCCCCCAUGCUUGUCGAUGCUUCGGCCAACAUGCACCCGAUCUAGCGCACACCCUGAAUAGUUCUCCGAGGAACAGGCGACGAUGUGUCGCAGGCCCGAUGACGGCAGCCAUGGCGGCCUGCGACGGCAACUCUCCCGAUCUCUCUCUCUACUUUG